rnacentral:rRNA from 1 species
UUAAACUAGGAUUAGAUACCCUAUUAUUUUUAUUAAAUAAAUUUAAUUUAAAUAUUAAAUGUAAAACAUUAAAAAUAAAAAAUUUGGCGGUAUUUAAUAUUUAGAGGAACUUGUUUAUUAAAUUGAUAAUCCACGAAUGGAGAAACUUAAUUUUUAAAAAUAAAUUUUUUUAUUUUUAAUGUAUUUUUAUGUAUUGUUGUUGUAAAAUUAUAUUAAAAGAUAGUUAUUAAAAUAUUUAAUAAAAUUAUAAUUCAAAUCAAAAUGUAGAAUAAUUAAGAGAUUUAAUGAGUUACAAUUAAUUAAAUAAUUGGAUUUUUUAAUAUUAUUAUAAUUAAUUUAAAUUUAUAAUGAAAAUGGAUUUAAAAGUAAAUUUAUAAAAAUUAUAAAUGAAUAA